ensembl:snoRNA U3 Small nucleolar RNA U3
AAGACUAUACUUUCAGGGAUCAUUUCUAUAGUUUGCUACUUUAUUAAUUUUACAGGUAGAGGUACUAAGAGUCACUGAGUAGAUCAGUGGUCAAACC